GAUGAACGCUGGCGGCGUGCCUAAUACAUGCAAGUCGAGCGAAUGGAUUAAGAGCUUGCUCUUAUGAAGUUAGCGGCGGACGGGUGAGUAACACGUGGGUAACCUGCCCAUAAGACUGGGAUAACUCCGGGAAACCGGGGCUAAUACCGGAUAACAUUUUGAACCGCAUGGUUCGAAAUUGAAAGGCGGCUUCGGCUGUCACUUAUGGAUGGACCCGCGUCGCAUUAGCUAGUUGGUGAGGUAACGGCUCACCAAGGCAACGAUGCGUAGCCGACCUGAGAGGGUGGUCGGCCACACUGGGGCUGAGACACGGCCCAGACUCCUACGGGAGGCAGCAGUAGGGAAUCUUCCGCAAUGGGCGAAAGUCUGACGGAGCAACGCCGCGUGAGGGAUGAAGGCUUUCGGGUCGUAAAACUCUGUUGUUAGGGAAGAACAAGUGCUAGUUGAAUAAGCUGGCACCUUAACGGUACCUAACCAGAAAGCCACGGCUAACUACGUGCCAGCCGCCGCCGUAA
rnacentral:rRNA from 1 species